rnacentral:rRNA from 1 species
AACGAACGCUGGCGGCAGGCUUAACACAUGCAAGUCGAACGGGCGUAGCAAUACGUCAGUGGCGGACGGGUGAGUAACACGUGGGAAUAUGCCCUUUCGGUUCGGAACGAACUCGGGAAACUCGUGCUAAUUCCGGAUACGCCCUUACGGGAAACGAUUUAUUCGGCCGAAGGAUUAGCCCGCGUUGGAGUUAGCUAGUUGGUGAGGUAAUGGCCCACCAAGGCGACGAUCCAUAGCUGGUUUGAGAGAACGACCAGCCACACUGGGACUGAGACACGGCCCAGACUCCUACGGGAGGC